rnacentral:rRNA from 1 species
UACGUAGGGUGCAAGCGUUAUUCGGAUUUACUGGGCGUAAAGCGUGCGCAGGCGGCUUUGUAAGCCAGAUGUGAAAUCCCCGGGCUUAACCUGGGAAUGGCAUUUGGGACUGCAAGGCUCGAGUGCGGCAGAGGAGACUGGAAUUCCUGGUGUAGCAGUGAAAUGCGUAGAUAUCAGGAGGAAUACCGAUGGCGAAGGCAGGUCUCUGGGCUGACACUGACGCUCAUGCACGAAAGCGUGGGGAGCAAACAGG